rnacentral:rRNA from 1 species
GAUGAACGCUGGCGGCGUGCCUAAUACAUGCAAGUCGAGCGAACAGACGAUGAGCUUGCUCCUCUGACGUUAGCGGCGGACGUGUGUGUAACACGUGGAUAACCUACCUAUAAGACUGGGAUAACUUCGGGAAACCGGAGCUUAUACCGGAGAAUAUAUUGAACCGCAGGGGUCAAUAGUGAAAGACGGUUUUGCUGUCACUUCUAGAUGGAUCCGCGCCGUAUGAUCUGGUUGGGAAGGUAACGGGUUUCCAAGGGAACGAUGCGUAUCCGAAGUGAGAGGGUGAUAGGCCACAUGGGAGCGGGACCAGGGACAAGACUACUACGGGAGGCAGCAGUAGGGUAUCUUACGCAGUAGGCGAGAGCCUGGCGGAGCAGCGCCGCGUGAGUGAUGAAAGUCUUCGGAUCGUAAAACUGUGUUAUUAGUGAAAAACAAAUGUGUAAGUAACUAUGCACGUAUUGACGGUAACUAAUCAGAAAGCCCCGGCUAACUACGUG